UGAGGAACAUGACUUUCGGUGGGGGAGUAGCCGGCCCAACGGCCGGGUAAUACCGCGUACGACCUUUUGGGGACAUCCCCGAGGGGUGAAAGCAGCAAUGCGCCGAUGGAGUGCCUCGCGGCCUAUCAGCUAGUUGGUGAGGUAACGGCUCACCAAGGCAACGAUGCGUAGCCGACCUGAGAGGGCGACCGGCCACACUGGGACUGAGACACGGCCCAGACUCCGUACGGGGAGCAG
rnacentral:rRNA from 1 species